CUCGAUUGAUCCUACCACUAGACAUAUGCUUGUCUCAAAGAUUAAGCCAUGCAUGUAUAAGUAUGAACUAAUUUAGACUGUGAAAUUACGAAUGGCUCUUUAAAGUAGUUACAGUUUGUUUGAUGGUAUCUACUACUCGAAUAAUAGUAGUAAUUCUGGAGCUAAUAUGUGCAACAAACCCUGACUUCUAGAAGGGAUACCUUUAUUAGAUAAAAGGUUGAAUGGGCUUUACCUAUUGCUCUAAUGAUUCAUGAUAACUUGACAGAUCGUACAGCCUUUGUGUAAGUGACACAUUAUUCAAAUUUCUUUCCUAUAAACUUUUGAUGGUAGGAUAGUGGCCUCCUAUGGUGGUGAUGAGUGACAGAGAAUUAGGGUUUGAUUCAAAAAAGAGAGCUUGAGAAAUAGCUAUCACAUCCAAGAAAAGUAGUAGUCGCACAAAUUAACCAGUCUUGGCAUGAGGAGGUAGUGACAACAAAUAACAAUACCGAGCUCUAUGAGUCUAGUAAUUGGAAUAAGUACAAUCUAAAUCCCUUAAUGACCAUCCAUUAGAGGGCAAGUUUGGUGCUAGCAGUUGUGGUAAUUCCAACUCCAAUAGCAUAUAUUUAAGUUGUUGCAGUUAAAAAGCUCAUAGGUGAAACUCAGGUUGGGUCAUCCAAUCCAUCUCACAAUGAGCAUUGAUCUACUUGUCCCUACUAUUAGUGAUGCAUUCCUUGCCUUAACUAGCUAGAUCAUUCCUCUAGUACUGUUACUUUGAAGAAAUUAGAGUGCUUAAAGUAAGCUUAUACUUGUAUACAUUAGCAUAGGAUUUUGUUCCUAUUGUGUUUGUCUUUAGGAUUGAAGUUAUGAUUAAUAGGGAUAGUCAAGGGCUUUCAUAUUUCAAGUCAGAGGUGAAAUUCUUGGAUUUAUAAAAAAAAAAAAACAAUUGGAAAAGCAUUGGCCAAGGAUGUUUUCACUAAUUAAGAAUAGAAGUUAGAGGCUAAAAGAUGAUCAGAUACCAUGCUAGUCCUAACCAUAAAAUGAUGCUAACCAAGGAUCAACAGAUGUUAUUAUUCUGCUGUUACCUUAUGAGAAAUCAAAAUCUUAAGGUUCUUGAGGGAGUAUGGUCGCAAGAUUAAAACUUAAAGGAAUUUAUGAAAGGGCACCACCAAAAGUAGAGCUUGCAGCUUAAUUUGACUUAACACGGAGAAACUUACCAAGUCUCGACAUAGUAAAGAUUGAUAGACUAAGAGCUUUUUCUUGAUUAUAUGGGUGGUGGUGCAUGGCCAUUCUUAGUUGGUGGAGCGAUUUAUCUAGUUAAUUCUAUUAAUGAACAAGACCUUAGCUUACUAACUAUCUAUAUAGAGGUGAUCCUUUAUGGUUAGCUUCUUAGAAGGGUUAUGGCCACUUAAGCCAAAGAAGGUUGACACAAUAAUAGGUCUAUGAUGCCCUUAGAUGUUCUAGUCUACACACAUGCUACACUGAUGUAUUCCAUGAGUCUAUAGCCUUGCCUAACAGGCUCAAGUAAUCUUUGAAAUUUCAUCAUGAAUGGGUUAUAUCAUUGUAAUUGUUGGUCUUCAAUAAGGAAUUCCUAGUAAGCACUAGUCAUUAGCUCACGUUGACUAUGUCCCAGCCCUUUGUACACAUUGCUCAUUGCUCCUACCAAUUGAAUGGUCUGGUGAAAUGUUCAGAUCAUGGAGAUGUGGAUAGUUCACUACUUGCGAUGUCAUGAGAAGUCUACUGAACCUUAUUAUUUAGAGAAAAGAGAAGUCAUAACAAGGUUUUUCGUAGGUGAACCUAUAAAAA
rnacentral:rRNA from 1 species